UACAGAGGUCCCGAGCGUUGUUCGGAUUCACUGGGCGUAAAGGGUGCGUAGGUGGUGAGGUAAGUCGGAUGUGAAAGCUCCAAGCUCAACUUGGAAAUGGCAUUGGAAACUACCUUGCUAGAGGGUUUGAGGGGGGACUGGAAUACUUGGUGUAGCAGUGAAAUGCGUGGAUAUCAAGUGGAACACCAGUGGCGAAGGCGAGUCCCUGGAAAACUCCUGACACUGAGGCACGAAAGCUAGGGGAGCAAACAGG
rnacentral:rRNA from 1 species